rnacentral:rRNA from 1 species
AGAGUUUGAUCAUGGCUCAGGAUGAACGCUAGCGGCAGGCUUAACACAUGCAAGUCGAGGGGCAGCAUAAUGGAUAGCAAUAUCUAUGGUGGCGACCGGCGCACGGGUGCGUAACGCGUAUGCAACCUACCUUUAACAGGGGGAUAACACUGAGAAAUUGGUACUAAUACCCCAUAAUAUCAUAGAAGGCAUCUUUUAUGGUUGAAAAUUCCGAUGGUUAGAGAUGGGCAUGCGUUGUAUUAGCUAGUUGGUGGGGUAACGGCUCACCAAGGCGACGAUACAUAGGGGGACUGAGAGGUUAACCCCCCACACUGGUACUGAGACACGGACCAGACUCCUACGGGAGGCAGCAGUGAGGAAUAUUGGUCAAUGGACGCAAGUCUGAACCAGCCAUGCCGCGUGCAGGAUGACGGCUCUAUGAGUUGUAAACUGCUUUUGUACGAGGGUAAACGCAGAUACGUGUAUCUGUCUGAAAGUAUCGUACGAAUAAGGAUCGGCUAACUCCGUGCCAGCAGCCGCGGUAAUACGGAGGAUUCAAGCGUUAUCCGGAUUUAUUGGGUUUAAAGGGUGCGUAGGCGGUUUGAUAAGUUAGAGGUGAAAUUUCGGGGCUCAACCCUGAACGUGCCUCUAAUACUGUUGAGCUAGAGAGUAGUUGCGGUAGGCGGAAUGUAUGGUGUAGCGGUGAAAUGCUUAGAGAUCAUACAGAACACCGAUUGCGAAGGCAGCUUACCAAACUAUAUCUGACGUUGAGGCACGAAAGCGUGGGGAGCAAACAGGAUUAGAUACCCUGGUAGUCCACGCAGUAAACGAUGAUAACUCGUUGUCGGCGAUACACAGUCGGUGACUAAGCGA